GUUUGUGGAAACACCACGUAAAUUUAUUACUGCAAAGCUUUAAAUAUUAUAGCUUUUUAUAUUAUUAGCACUGAUGAAGAUCCGGGCUUCCGGAUCGAAAGCUUUGCAGUAGUAAAUUUACGUGGUGUUAACACAAACAAAACCAU